GACGAACGCUGGCGGCGUGCUUAACACAUGCAAGUCGAACGGUAAGGCCCUUCGGGGUACACGAGUGGCGAACGGGUGAGUAACACGUGGGUGAUCUACCCUGCACUUCGGGAUAAGCCUGGGCAACUGGGUCUAAUACCGGAUAGGACCACUGCCUGCAUGGGUGGUGGUGGAAAGCUUUUGCGGUGUGGGAUGGGCCCGCGGCCUAUCAGCUUGUUGGUGGGGUGAUGGCCUACCAAGGCGACGACGGGUAGCCGGCCUGAGAGGGUGACCGGCCACACUGGGACUGAGAUACGGCCCAGACUCCUACGGGAGGCAGCAGUGGGGAAUAUUGCACAAUGGGCGCAAGCCUGAUGCAGCGACGCCGCGUGAGGGAUGACGGCCUUCGGGUUGUAAACCUCUUUCAGCACCGACGAAGCGCAAGUGACGGUAGGUGCAGAAGAAGGACCGGCCAACUACGUGCCAGCCGCCGCGGUAA
rnacentral:rRNA from 1 species